AUUACACAAUAAAAUAUGAAGGCUGUACGCGGCUGUGCUCUCGGGCCAGUUUUGCGGAGGCUGAAUUAUUUAUUACCCUUGUCUUUUGCGCACUUGUUGUUUCCUGGGCGGGUUCGCCCGCCACCAGGACCACAUCAUAAACCUUUUUUAUGCAGUUGCAAUCAGCGUCAGUAUAACAAAUGUAAAUCAUUUACAACUUUCAACAACGGAUCUCUUGGUUCUGGCAUCGAUGAAGAACGCAGCGAAAUGCGAUACGUAGUGUGAAUUGCAGAAUUCAGUGAAUCAUCGAAUCUUUGAACGCACAUUGCGCCCUUUGGUAUUCCAAAGGGCAUGCCUGUUCGAGCGUCAUUUGUACCCUCAAGCUUUGCUUGGUGUUGGGCGUUUUUUGUCUUUGGUUGCCAAAGACUCGCCUUAAAAGGAUUGGCAGCCGGCCUACUGGUUUCGCAGCGCAGCACAUUUUUGCGCUUGCAAUCAGCAAAAGAGGACGGCAAUCCAUCAAGACUCCUUCUCACGUUUGACCUCGGAUCAGGUAGGGAUACCCGCUGAACUUAAGCAUAUCA
rnacentral:rRNA from 1 species